CUUUCCUGCUCAGCUCAGUUAAGGUUCCGGAUAUGCUGCUGACGCCUGGGGCAAUGAUUGCCUUUUGAGCAAAAUAGAUCGUGGAUGCUGGGGAGAUGGCCCUGAGGCUCAGAAUUACAGCUGAAGCAUGAAGACCUAUGUCUGGAUUCCAGUACCCACAUAAACUCUCCUCCCAGCACAAAGGCGAGCAGAGAGCAAUCGGACGGCUGGCACCUGCUUGCUCCCAGCCUGGUGGAAGAACUGGAACUCCGAGUUUAUCGACACGCUGUCAGAUUCUGCCUCAGAAGGAAUAAAGUAGGGAGUGAUGAGGGGGAUCCCCAAGAUUCCCCUCUGGCCUCCGCUGACUCCCCAACACAUACGCAGUACACACACACACCCCAACAUACAACCAAUUUGGAUUACGAAGAAAUGUGUCCACGGACUUGAAAAUGGACGCUUUGGCAGCAACUAUGAGCAGAGCCACGUAUAAUGCAUAGAGACUGAUACACUCCCUCUCCUGACUUCAGGAGCUCUUUUAUGUUUUGUUCUGGUUUGUUUGUUUGUUUUCGGGAAGUGUCUCAUUUCUCCCAGACUGGCCUCAAACUCACUAAGUAGCCGAGGAUGACCUUCCUUCUGGGUGCCGGAAUCACAGGUGUGCUCAGCUCUUCAACGCCAUUUCUUAGGGUUUUUUUGUUUUGUUUUGUUUUGUUUUGUUUUAUUAAAUAAGCAAUACAAUGA